UCGGGAAUUUUGGGCAAUGGGCGAAAGCCUGACCCAGCAACGCCGCGUGAAGGAUGAAGUAUUUCGGUAUGUAAACUUCGAAAGAAUAGGAAGAAUAAAUGACGGUACUAUUUAUAAGGUCCGGCUAACUACGUGCCAGCAGCCGCGGUAAUACGUAGGGACCAAGCGUUGUUCGGAUUUACUGGGCGUAAAGGGCGCGUAGGCGGCAAUUCAAGUCAUCUGUGAAAUCUCCGGGCUUAACUCGGAACGGUCAGAUGAUACUGCUUUGCUAGAGUGCAGAAGGGGCAAUCGGAAUUCUUGGUGUAGCGGUGAAAUGCGUAGAUAUCGGGAGGAACACCUGUGGCGAAGGCGGCCACCUGGUUGGAUACUGACGCUGAGACGCGAAAGCGUGGGGAGCAAACAGGAUUAGAUACCCAAGUAGUCCCUGAGCGGGC
rnacentral:rRNA from 1 species